CAACUACUCCCUCUGUCCCAAAUUUCUUGUCUUAGAUUUUUCUAGAUACGGAUGUAUCUAAUACUAAAAUGUGACUUGAUACAUCCCUAUCUAGACAAAUCUAAGACAAGAAUUUUGGGACGGAGGGAGUACUUU
rnacentral:pre_miRNA from 1 species